GGAGGGAUAGCGAAGUGGCCAAACGCAGCAGACUGUAAAUCUGCCGGCUCCGCCUUCGUAGGUUCGAAUCCUACUCCCUCCA
rnacentral:tRNA from 1 species